GGGCCCGCACAAGCGGUGGAGCAUGUGGUUUAAUUCGAUGAUACGCGAGGAACCUUACCAGGGCUUAAAUGUAAGUUGCAUAGAUCAGAGAUGGUCUUUUCUUCGGACUACUUACAAGGUGCUGCAUGGUUGUCGUCAGCUCGUGCCGUGAGGUGUCAGGUUAAGUCCUAUAACGAGCGCAACCCCUGUCGUUAGUUGCCAUCGAGUAAUGUCGGGAACUCUAACAAGACUGCCGGUGCAAACCGUGAGGAAGGUGGGGAUGACGUCAAAUCAUCACGGCCCUUACGUCCUGGGCUACACACGUGCUACAAUGGCCGGUACAGAGAGCAGCCACUACGCGAGUAGGAGCUAAUCUUUAAAACCGAUCUCAGUUCGGAUCGCAGUCUGCAACUCGACUGCGUGAAGCUGGAAUCGCUAGUAAUCG
rnacentral:rRNA from 1 species